rnacentral:rRNA from 1 species
AUUGAACGCUGGCGGCAUGCUUUACACAUGCAAGUCGAACGGCAGCGGGGUAGUGCUUGCACUACUGCCGGCGAGUGGCGAACGGGUGAGUAAUAUAUCGGAACGUACCGAGUAAUGGGGGAUAACCAAUCGAAAGAUUGGCUAAUACCGCAUACGUCCUGAGGGAGAAAGCGGGGGAUCGCAAGACCUCGCGUUCUUCGAGCGGCCGAUAACUGAUUAGCUAGUUGGUGGGGUAAAGGCCUACCAAGGCGACGAUCAGUAGCGGGUCUGAGAGGACGAUCCGCCACACUGGGACUGAGACACGGCCCAGACUCCUACGGGAGGCAGCAGUGGGGAAUUUUGGACAAUGGGGGCAACCCUGAUCCAGCCAUGCCGCGUGUAUGAAGAAGGCCUUCGGGUUGUAAAGUACUUUUGUUAGGGAAGAAAAGGGAAGUGCUAAUACCACUUUUUGCUGACGGUACCUAAAGAAUAAGCACCGGCUAACUACGUG